AUGUUUUACGGUGGUCACAAUAACAAAUACCGUCUCCCAGUCAUCUCUCUCUCUCUCGAGCUAGAGAUUUAGGAGGGAUUUCUCUUGUUUUCUAGGGUUUUUGGAUCUGCACACUCCUUUCAACAAUCCGAGCUGAACACAGACAGACAAACAUCCAGCCAUGCCCCGGUAUUACUGUGAUUAUUGUGACACUUACUUGACUCAUGAUUCUCCAUCUGUUAGAAAACAGCACAAUGCCGGUUAUAAACACAAGGCAAAUGUGAGGAUCUAUUAUCAGCAGUUUGAGGAGCAGCAAACCCAAAGUAUAAUUGACCAAAGAAUAAAGGAACAUCUUGGCCAAACUGCAGCUUUUCAACAGGUUGGUGCCGCAUACAAUCAGCAUCUAAUGGUCCAGAGACCCCGGCUUCCUGUUCUUCCAACUCCUGUGAUGCCAAUUGGAGGAAAUAACGCCCCAUUAUUCCCUGGGAUGAGGCCUCCUGUUUUGCCUAGACCAAUGCCUGGUGCUCCAGGUUAUAUGAACCCUCCUAUGAUGCCCCCAAUGAUGGCACCCCCUGGUGCUCCUUCCUUACCUGGUCAAAUGAAUGGCAUUCCAAGGCCUCCUACAAUGAUUGCACAACCAAAUGUUCCUGGGAGUACUGCAGCACCUACUCCUAGCGGUCCCCCGUCUAUGGGUCCACCUGUUACUUACCAAGCAAAUCAAGCAGCAACAACCAGUGGAGGCUUUGACAGCUUCAAUGUGAAUGCCGCAGCCCCUGAAGCCAAUCAUUAGUCUGAAUCAAGCUGGCCAUGAGAAGAAAUCAGCAAGGCCACUCUACAUUGCAAUGCCUUUCUUGAAUUGUGUGCAGAUCUCAUUGUGAGGACAUUGCCUCUUCAGACAAUUGUAGCCUAGGGACCAUAAGCUAGAUAGGCUCCGCCAGCCAGUAUAGAAAACAGUGUUUCCUAAUACUUGAUGUUGCCCCUUUUCUAUAUUUUCUUAUAAUGCUGCUGAUAUUACUCUUUUGAUGUGCCCCCUUUUAUGGUUUCCGUAAUGGAAUAACAAAAAAGAAUAGUUGGUUGGUU